GAUGAACGCUGGCGGCGUGCUUAACACAUGCAAGUCGAACGAUGAAGCCCAGCUUGCUGGGUGGAUUAGUGGCGAACGGGUGAGUAACACGUGAGUAGCCUGCCCUUAACUCUGGGAUAAGCCUGGGAAACUGGGUCUAAUACCGGAUAGGAGCGUCCACCGCAUGGUGGGUGUUGGAAAGAUUUAUCGGUUUUGGAUGGACUCGCGGCCUAUCAGCUUGUUGGUGAGGUAAUGGCUCACCAAGGCGACGACGGGUAGCCGGCCUGAGAGGGUGACCGGCCACACUGGGACUGAGACACGGCCCAGACUCCUACGGGAGGCAGCAGUGGGGAAUAUUGCACAAUGGGCGCAAGCCUGAUGCAGCGACGCCGCGUGAGGGAUGACGGCCUUCGGGUUGUAAACCUCUUUCAGUAGGGAAGAAGCGAAAGUGACGGUACCUGCAGAAGAAGCACCGGCUAACUACGUG
rnacentral:rRNA from 1 species